rnacentral:rRNA from 1 species
AUUGAACGCUGGCGGCAGGCCUAACACAUGCAAGUCGAGCGGAAACGAGUUGUCUGAACCUUCGGGGAACGAUAGCGGCGUCGAGCGGCGGACGGGUGAGUAAUGCCUAGGAAAUUGCCCUGAUGUGGGGGAUAACCAUUGGAAACGAUGGCUAAUACCGCAUGAUGCCUACGGGCCAAAGAGGGGGACCUUCGGGCCUCUCGCGUCAGGAUAUGCCUAGGUGGGAUUAGCUAGUUGGUGAGGUAAGGGCUCACCAAGGCGACGAUCCCUAGCUGGUCUGAGAGGAUGAUCAGCCACACUGGAACUGAGACACGGUCCAGACUCCUACGGGAGGCAGCAGUGGGGAAUAUUGCACAAUGGGCGCAAGCCUGAUGCAGCCAUGCCGCGUGUGUGAAGAAGGCCUUCGGGUUGUAAAGCACUUUCAGUCGUGAGGAAGGUAGUGUAGUUAAUAGCUGCAUUAUUUGACGUUAGCGACAGAAGAAGCACCGGCUAACUCCGUGCCAGCAGCCGCGGUAAUACGGAGGGUGCGAGCGUUAAUCGGAAUUACUGGGCGUAAAGCGCAUGCAGGUGGUUUGUUAAGUCAGAUGUGAAAGCCCGGGGCUCAACCUCGGAAUUGCAUUUGAAACUGGCAGACUAGAGUACUGUAGAGGGGGGUAGAAUUUCAGGUGUAGCGGUGAAAUGCGUAGAGAUCUGAAGGAAUACCGGUGGCGAAGCGGCCCCCUGGACAGAUACUGACACUCAGAUGCGAAAGCGUGGGGAGCAAACAGG